GGGAAUGUAGCUCAGCGGUAGAGCGCUUGCCUAGAAUGCAUAAAGCCCUAGGUUCAAUCCCUCAGUACUA
rnacentral:tRNA from 1 species